AAGAAAGUGGCAGAGUCGUUAUGCGGCGGGCUUGAAACCGGCAAAUGGGGGUUCAAUUCCUUCCUUUCUUG
rnacentral:tRNA from 1 species